UGAGCAAUCUGCCCUUCCCAUCGGAAUAAGCGUUGGAAACGACGUCUAAUGCCGAAUACGACCUCCUUUCGCAUGAUCGGAGGUGGAAAGCUCCGGCGGAGAAGGAUGAGCUCGCGGCCUAUCAGCUAGUUGGUGUGGGUAAUGGCCCACCAAGGCGACGACGGGUAGCCGGCCUGAGAGGGUGACCGGCCACACUGGGACUGAGACACGGCCCAGACUCCUACGGGAGGNAGCG
rnacentral:rRNA from 1 species